AUUGAACGCUGGCGGCAGGCCUAACACAUGCAAGUCGAGCGGAUGAAGGGAGCUUGCUCCUGGGUUCAGCGGCGGACGGGUGAGUAAUGCCUAGGAAUCUGCCUGGUAGUGGGGGAUAACGUCCGGAAACGGGCGCUAAUACCGCAUACGUCCUGCGGGAGCAAGUGGGGGAUCUUCGGACCUCACGCUAUCAGAUGAGCCUAGGUCGGAUUAGCUAGUUGGUGGGGUAAAGGCCUACCAAGGCGACGAUCCGUAACUGGUCUGAGAGGAUGAUCAGUCACACUGGAACUGAGACACGGUCCAGACUCCUACGGGAGGCAGCAGUGGGGAAUAUUGGACAAUGGGCGAAAGCCUGAUCCAGCCAUGCCGCGUGUGUGAAGAAGGUCUUCGGAUUGUAAAGCACUUUAAGUUGGGAGGAAGGGCAGUAAGUUAAUACCUUGCUGUUGUGACGUUACCAACAGAAUAAGCACCGGCUAACUUCGUG
rnacentral:rRNA from 1 species